rnacentral:rRNA from 1 species
GACGAACGCUGGCGGCGUGCUUAACACAUGCAAGUCGAACGGAAAGGCCCUGCUUUUGUGGGGUGCUCGAGUGGCGAACGGGUGAGUAACACGUGAGUAACCUGCCCUUGACUUUGGGAUAACUUCAGGAAACUGGGGCUAAUACCGGAUAGGAGCUCCUGCUGCAUGGUGGGGGUUGGAAAGUUUCGGCGGUUGGGGAUGGACUCGCGGCUUAUCAGCUUGUUGGUGGGGUAGUGGCUUACCAAGGCUUUGACUGGUAGCCGGCCUGAGAGGGUGGCCGGCCACAUUGGGACUGAGAUACGGACCAGACUCCUACGGGAGGCAGCAGUGGGGAAUAUUACACAAUGGGCGGAAGCCUGAUGCAGCAACGCCGCGUGCGGGAUGCCGGCCUUCGGGUUGUAAACCGCUUUCGCCUGUGACGAAGCGUGAGUGACGGUAAUGGGUAAAGAAGCACCGGCUAACUACGUG